rnacentral:rRNA from 1 species
GUGGGGAAUUUUGGACAAUGGGCGCAAGCCUGAUCCAGCAAUGCCGCGUGCAGGAAGAAGGCCUUCGGGUUGUAAACUGCUUUUGUACAGAACGAAAAGGCUCUGGUUAAUACCUGGGGCUCAUGACGGUACCGUAAGAAUAAGCACCGGCUAACUACGUGCCAGCAGCCGCGGUAAUACGUAGGGUGCAAGCGUUAAUCGGAAUUACUGGGCGUAAAGCGUGCGCAGGCGGUUUUGUAAGACAGACGUGAAAUCCCCGGGCUCAACCUGGGAAGUGCGUUUGGGACUGCAAAGCUGGAGUGCGGCAGAGGGGGUUGGAAUUCCGCGUGUAGCAGUGAAAUGCGUAGAUAUGCGGAGGAACACCGAUGGCGAAGGCAAUCCCCUGGGCCUGCACUGACGCUCAUGCACGAAAGCGUGGGGAGCAAACAGGAUUAGAAACCCUUGUAGUCC